UCCCGUUUAGCUCAGUGGUAGAGCGCAUCACUAGUAUAAGAUGCUAUGAUGAGGCCAGUCGUUCAAGUCGGCUAAUGGGAA